CAGCCGUAAACUAUGCUCGCUAGGUGUCAGGCAUGGCGCGACCGUGUCUGGUGCCGCAGGGAAGCCGUGAAGCGAGCCACCUGGGAAGUACGGCCGCAAGGCUGAAACUUAAAGGAAUUGGCGGGGGAGCACCACAACAGGUGGAGCCUGCGGUUUAAUUGGAUUCAACGCCGGACAUCUCACCGGAUAAGACAGCUGAAUGAUCGUCAAUCUGAAGGUUUUACAUGACUAGCUGAGAGGUGGUGCAUGGCGUAGACGUCU
rnacentral:rRNA from 1 species